rnacentral:rRNA from 1 species
GCGCGCGAUAGAGGGUGACAGCCCCGUACACAAAAGCGCAUGUGCGGUGAGCGCGAUGAGUAUGGCGGGACACGUGGUAUCCUGUCUGAAUAUGGGGGGACCAUCCUCCAAGGCUAAAUACUCCUGACUGACCGAUAGUGAACCAGUACCGUGAGGGAAAGGCGAAAAGAACCCCGGCGAGGGGAGUGAAAAAGAACCUGAAACCGUGUACGUACAAGCAGUGGGAGCACAGGUUUACCUGUGUGACUGCGUACCUUUUGUAUAAUGGGUCAGCGACUUAUAUUCUGUAGCAAGGUUAACCGAAUAGGGGAGCCGGAGGGAAACCGAGUCUUAAUUGGGCGUUAAGUUGCAGGGUAUAGACCCGAAACCCGGUGAUCUAGCCAUGGGCAUGUUGAAGGUUGGGUAACACUAACUGGAGGACCGAACCGAAUAAUGUUGAAAUUUUAGCGGAUGACCUGUGGCUGGGGGUGAGCGGCCAAUCACCGCGGGAGAUAGCUGGGUCU